rnacentral:rRNA from 1 species
GACGAACGCUGGCGGCGUGCUUAACACAUGCAAGUCGAACGGAAAGGCCCUGCUUGCAGGGUGCUCGAGUGGCGAACGGGUGAGUAACACGUGGGUGAUCUGCCCCUUACUUUGGGAUAAGCCUGGGAAACUGGGUCUAAUACUGGAUAGGACCAUGCUGUAGGUGGUGUGGUGGAAAGAUUAGUUUCGGUAAGGGAUGAGCUCGCGGCCUAUCAGCUUGUUGGUGGGGUAAUGGCCUACCAAGGCGUCGACGGGUAGCCGGCCUGAGAGGGUGGACGGCCACAUUGGGACUGAGAUACGGCGCAGACUCCUACGAGAGGCAGCAGUGGGGAAUAUUGCACAAUGGGCGCAAGCCUGAUGCAGCGACGCCGCGUGGGGGAUGACGGCCUUCGGGUUGUAAACUCCUUUCAGCCAUGACGAAGCCCUUGUGGUGACGGUAGUGGUAGAAGAAGCACCGGCUAACUACGUG